UACGUAGGGGGCAAGCGUUGUCCGGAAUCAUUGGGCGUAAAGAGCGUGUAGGCGGUUCGAUAAGUCUGCUGUGAAAGUCCAGGGCUCAACCCUGGAAAGCCGGUGGAUACUGUCGGACUAGAGUGCGGAAGAGGCGAGUGGAAUUCCCGGUGUAGCGGUGAAAUGCGCAGAUAUCGGGAGGAACACCAAUUGCGAAGGCAGCUCGCUGGGACGUUACUGACGCUGAGACGCGAAAGCGUGGGGAGCAAACAGG
rnacentral:rRNA from 1 species